GGGGCACACAACGUCACAAACACGACUCGAAGUCGGAUACGAGAUCUCCCUCUGCCCACACACAAUAACGGCUAUCUUAACUGUUGUGCCGUUUUAGAGUUCUUGAAUACCGACCCAGAAAAGUAAGAGAGGAGAAUGGGCCUCGCUUCUCAUGGGUCUUCUUGUUAUCAAUGGGGUAUUCGUGCCAGAGUCUGCCAGAGCUGGCCUUCCACGAGCGAGCGCCAGUGCAGACUGUGCAGGUCAAGCAUACAACCAAGUUAUGCGGAUGUUUUGCAUGGUGAUUCUUCGCCUCCAAGGGCCAACGCAUGGAAACCUCAUCGAAAGUUUGUUGACUUUUUUAGACUGCAAUGCUUGCAACAUCUUGUUUGUGUAACAGCUGUGACCUGACAAAAUGGCGUAGGUGCAGGUUUGCUGGUGGAUAAACUUCAUAACGUAGAGGCCGGAGUCUGUUCUCACAAAGCUGCUGCUUGAGUUCAGAAUAUUGUUCCGUCCAACGAGAACUCGUCGCACAAGCGCAGCAGGGAUUUGAAGAUCUUUUGAUGAUCGUACAGGAAAACGGCACGGAGGCUGAACUACUCCUCAUUGCAGAUAGCGACGGUGACCUGUGCGUCCUUGCCCUGAAAUUAAUUUCACGGAGAUAAAAUGAGUAGUCUUCGUCACUUAUCAUAGAGGAACAAGAGCUGCCUCUCUGCCCCAUAAUCAAGCUCAUCGAUAUAAACAUCAUCCAAAGGGCAAUUUUAAAGCUCGAAGAGACAAAGGCUCGGGAGAAGUGCAUUGAUUUUGUAAAUUUAUUUAUGUAGUACUGUAAAUAAACAUUUUUGCGUUUGGUUC